rnacentral:lncRNA from 1 species
UUUUCCUGAAGCCUCUCUUCUUGGCUUACAAAUGACCACCUCCUUGCUUUGUCCUCACAGAGUCAUCCCUCUGUGAAUGCAGUCUGUAUUAAACUACUCUUCUUAUAAAGACACUAGUCAUACUGGGUUAGGUCCUACGCUAAAGACUCAAUUUUAACACAAUAACCUCUUAAAGGCCCUGUCUCCAAAAACAGUCACAUUCUGUUGUUAGAACUUCAACCUAUGAAUUUUGGGGAUACAAAAUUCAGCCUGUAACACUUGGGUUUAGACUAAGCUUCUAUCACAAAAAGAUCCUAAAAUACAGUUGGAUCAAGAAAAAUAAAUUUUACUUAUCUCUCAUCUAACAAUAAUUCAGAAGUAGGCCGAAGUCCAGUGAUCAAUAGCCUCUGCUGCAUAAUGUCAUCUAAACACCUAGGUUCCAUCUAUCCCAUUGUUUUUCCAUCCCUCCGGUAUGAUUCUCAUUGAUAUAGUUGAGACUGACUCACCUCAUAGCUUUCAAUUUGUCAGACCCAAAACUAAGCUCUUUUGCAUAUGUUAAAUGAUUAUAAUUGUACAUUUUAAGUAUUAUGUCAUAAAAAAGAGAAAUUAUGAAUGCAUAGUAUAAGUUAAUAAAUAAUUUGUGCUGCUUUUCAUCUCCAAAUGGGGGGGUCCAGAAUUACUUAACACCUGGAGUAAAUAUGACUCCCUCCUUUAGUAAUUCUCAACAUAACCUGACAAUACAUGUUUAAAGCUCUGAGCAUAUUUUCAGAUGAUCAUUUGUUGAAGACUGAUGCGUAUAUGAAAAUCCAAAUUCUAGAUUACAAGAUGUUAAUCUUCAAGAGAAUGAAGAUUGAGCAGUUUCUACUCAUCCACCCACUUAAAAGUUCGAGCCACAGGAUUCAGUCUUUAGCUAAUCCUUGCAUCUGAAGGGAAAGAAAGUGGAAAUGGUCUCCAUGCUUCUUAACCACUUUUGCUGGUGAACAUUCUGUUGGUAGAAACUAAUCACAUGUCCCCUUCAUACAAGAGGUGCGGGUUAUGUUGUCCUUGGCUGGGCAGCCACUUCCUAGCAUUACUCUGCACUAGAGAAGGGGGCACAACUGUUGGAUGGAAAGCUAAUCGUCUCUACCAAACAUUUCCUUUAAUUGAGCAAUGUGAUGGCCUUAUAUAUCUUAUUGGAGCAAUUUCUUAACAUCAAGUCAGAUGCCAGGACUUCUCUGAAAGUAAAAUACUGUUAUUUCAUGUACAGAAACAAUUCUGAACUGAGCCACAAGAUAUUAUCUAUUGAAAAAUCGGUCUUAGUCAAUUAUUCAGUUAACAUUAUAUUAUGCAUCUAAUUGUUUUAAGCCUGUUACCAAUCAGCUCAAAUCUUCAGGCAAACCAAUUGUCAGAAUAGUUAUCCAAAGCCUCUGGGAACACAUGUAGCCAAUAUUCUCAUUCGUUAUUGUAAAAAUUUUAGCAGGUAUUUAUAAUACCUAAACUGAACACUAAGAACCUGGAACUUCAGAGAUUUAAUUAUAAAAAAAAUGAAACAGAAUUUUUCUAGUAUUCAGUAAUCUUAAAUC